rnacentral:rRNA from 1 species
CCUACGGGCGGCAGCAGUGGGGAAUAUUGCACAAUGGGGGAAACCCUGAUGCAGCGACGCCGCGUGCGGGAAGAAGUAAUUCGUUAUGGAAAGCUGUAUCAGCAGGGAAGAAAAUGACGGUACCUGAGUAAGAAGCCCCGGCUAACUACGUGCCAGCAGCCGCGGUAAUACGUAGGGGGCAAGCGUUAUCCGGAUUUACUGGGUGUAAAGAGAGCGUAGACGGCAGUGCAAGUCUGGAGUGAAAGGCGGGGGCUCAACCCCCGGACUGCUCUGGAAACUGUGCGGCUGGAGUGCAGGAGAGGUAAGUGGAAUUCCUAGUGUAGCGGUGAAAUGCGUAGAUAUUAGGCAGAACACCAGUGGCGAAGGCAGCUUACUGAACUGUAACUGACGUUGAGGCUCGAAAGCGUGGGGAGCAAACAGGAUAAGAUACCCGGGUAGUC